CCCGCCAUGAUUCUGAGGCCUCCCCAGCCAUGUGGAACUAAGCAUCUAUCUUCCCUCAUUAUCUUCUGUACACAUCUAAGAGGGAGAUACCCCAAACAGCCAAAGUCAUUAUCUAAGCAGUGUGCUAGUACAUAGAGGCUGAGGACUUCAAAAGGGUUUCAAGGGAGCCAGAGUUAAUGAAGACAGCAUGGAAGGCCACAGCUGAGACCUUCCUGUGGGAGUCCACCUCACCUACAAGAAGAGCUACCAUUUUAACACAGUGCUUCGGGAUGAGGCAAUGGAACAGGCUUUGUCACCCUAAACAUCUUUAACUAUCAGACACAGCCACCUGAUGAGAAGCUGCUUAUCUUCAUCUCAGGAAGCUUUAAACCUUUUCCCUGGUUGACUUGAAGAUUCUGUACAUCUUGGUAUUCUUCCGCUUUUCUGAGGCUGAACAUAUUAAGGCCGUGAAUGAUUCCCAUGGUAUAAAGAGGCCAAGCUAGUUGUCACAAGAUGCCAGGGACUUAGAAGAAGGAGACCUUCCAGGUCAAACAUGCCAGAAUUAGAGGUGAAGGUCACAGGGCAGACUCACUCCUUCCCUGAUCAUCACUCAAGCUGCUAUCCUGAGAAGAUGGUGCCAAACCAGGAGGCAACUGGAAAAUAUCCUGACGGGGGAAGGAGUUUUCCUCUUACUCCUAUAGUCCUUGUUCAGAAUGUAAGCCUUGGAAUUGGUAGAAGAUAUUCAUGUUCUUGUUUCCAUGAGGCGUCAAACAUAAUGAGAUCAAUAAAAUAUCCUAAGAUUUAGAAAACCGGGUCAGGCUUUGUCUCUUCCAUCUGACUCUGAAACUCCAAAAAUCCAUAAGCUUUCCAAAAGGGGACUCAUUGCAGGGUGGGGUAUUAAUGCUUGAGUCUUUAAAAGUUAGCUUAGAGAUAAAGUAGUGAAAUGACCUCCUUUCACAAGUAAGAAAACUGAAGCCCAAGGAGGCUUGAUGACUUGUCCAAGGUCACAUGGUUAUGAAGAAAACGGAGCUUGCCCUUGAACCCAGGGUUUUGCAGCUUCAGGCUCCAUUCUUCUUAAGGGGUUCUUGCUGCUUUUGUCCAUGAGUUGUAGUUGCUCUGUCAGCCUUUAUUUCUGCUCCUUCCAGUUUGAAGAUGUUUUUUAUUUCUAGACAAUAGUGAAAGAGGAGGAUUUGAAUAACUCUGGCUUCUGCUAAUAUCAUGCCGCAUUUUCUAAGAGUGGAAAUAUAGAAAGUGGUAAAUUUAGAGACAGAGAAGCCAGUCACGGAAAAUCAGGGUUGAGGAGGAGAGAUUUGGCACAGGUGUAACACAAAGAGACGAGAGAGGUCACGCUUGACCACAGACGGAGAGAUGCAGCAGUGGACUGCUAUUGCUGAAAAGCCAAAAUAAUACCAGGCUGUAUUUAUAGAAGGAUGACAUGCAAAGCCCACGAAGCAAUCACUAGGCUACAGUCUAUAUUAGAUCUCUAUUCAAUAUGAUGCUCAGUUUGUCACACUUUGAAAAGAGAGAGCCCAAAGAGGGUAACAAAGUAACAGAAAAUCACAACUUAAAGUUAAGGAAUUUGGGUUGCUAAAGGCAACCAUUUUCUUGGAUUCCAUCCAUUGUCUGAUUGCUUCAACAGGCAGGAGGAAAGAGAGGAGAAAAGGGAAGGAGAGUUGUCUCAGCCAGAAAUUUCUCUCCAACCUUCUGGCCUCUCAGCACAGAAUUUUAGAAGCAUGUUCUGCCCACUCACCUUCCGGUCAAGGUUAAGAUCCCCUGCUUGAUCUCUCUGAAAACUUGCAGCCUCUCAUAAUCAGAUCUUAGGGAUGGCUUCUCUACCUGCGCAGGGCUCUUACUGUAUAAGUCACCACUUCCACUGCUGGCUCCAGGGACUUCAAGAGCGAAACUGGUUGAGCAGCCCCAGGCUCAUGCCUGCAGCCCCACACUGACUACAGCAAUCUCGUAGCCUCUAUCUGAUUUUUGAACUUGUUUUCAGCCUGUAUGUGAAAGAUUUUCUCCCUGUCUUCACCAAAUCUAUGUGGGAGUCUGAACCACUACCACCUUCCCCCCAUGCUGAGAUGCUUUCUUUAUGUAUCAGCACACUGAAUACAAUGGGGAAAUAUAUAGGUCAAACACAGAGACUCAACAUUGACUUCCAGAAGUAAAAAACUAGGAUUCUUUUGAUUUUAGACAAUUUUUUUGCAGUAUUUCUGUAUUUUGGAGAAAGGUAGUGAUGAUUUUAAGACAAUUCCUCUGUCAUGUCUUCUUUUCCCUUCUACAGAGGUUUUAAGCUUCUUUAUCUCCCCUGAAGAAAGCAAAGGAAAGAAAGCUGAAAGAAAGACAUGCCAAGGAGAAAGAGCCUUAGACGGAUCACAUACCAGGUUCUCACAGGCCACUGACAGCAAGGGGAAAAGUUCGAGAGCUAGCUUUCUCCAUCUUGCCCCAGGAGAAAUUCCUGGGAAAAAUACAGGGACACUGUGUCCCAACUAUGAGGAGAAAACUUCAAGAGGCCACGUCUCCAGUGACUGAUACUGGGGACCAGGUCCUCACAGGAGCAUGGGCUUAGCUUGCUCCAUCUGGCCCCAGAGCUUAGGAGCUCUUUUUGAGAGAGCUCUGAGGCCCACAGGUCCAAGGAAGUGCUGGGCACUGCAGAGAAUGGCCGAGUUCCCAAGUUCAUGCCACCAGAAUUGCAAAAGAUCAAGUACGUAAACAUGAAGAGUUUGUGAAUGGUUAGGAACACAGGCUUUGUGGCCAGACACACCUGGAUUGAAUAUUGGCUCCAUCAAUUUUCUUCCCCUAGUCCAGGGCGACUCUCAACUCUGUCCAAGGACAAACUCACAUACCUUCUGGAAACUGCUAGUCUCCUCUAAGAUCAAACUUACAUGUCUGGUUAAUGGUUUAUCUUGUACAUCUUUCUAUAACCAACACACAGAACUUGACCUUGAUUGUUUUAAUGACUAUAUAGUAUUCCACUAUAUGACCAGAUUUAUGUUCGCCAUUUUCCAAGAAUUAAUGCUAAGUUGUUAAUGAUGUUUGCUAUAGCAAACAAUGCUGCAAUGAAUAUAUUUGCGUAAGUAUCUGUAUACAAAUAUAACAAAAUUUCCAGAAAGAGAAUUUCUGCAAGUGCCUUUCAAAUCUUGAUAUUGUCAAGUUGUCCUCUAAAGCACCUCCACCAAUUUACCACCCACUAAUGGUGCCCAAGAAGGCUUCUCGUUGAUAAGGCACUAAGAAGGAAGAACGAAAGUCAUAUUGAGGGAACUAAAAAUGUCUUUUGCUAUUCUUUUAUUUUUUGAGAUGGAG